UACGGAGGGUGCGAGCGUUAAUCGGAAUUACUGGGCGUAAAGCGCACGCAGGCGGUUUGUUAAGCUAGAUGUGAAAGCCCCGGGCUUAACCUGGGACAGUCAUUUAGAACUGGCAAGCUAGAGUCUUGGAGAGGGGAGUGGAAUUCCAGGUGUAGCGGUGAAAUGCGUAGAUAUCUGGAGGAACAUCAGUGGCGAAGGCGGCUCCCUGGCCAAAGACUGACGCUCAUGUGCGAAAGUGUGGGUAGCGAACAGG
rnacentral:misc_RNA from 1 species